UUGAUUUAUAUCAAUCACCCGAUUUCAACUUUUGAAUCAUUGUAGAGCACAACAUAUCUAUAGAGAAGCAAAUCAGAUUACUGACUAGCUCAUAGGUAAAGCUUCUGUGAGUGAUUUGCAGGCUGAUUCUUCUAUACUGCAAGAUCUGUUUUUGCUGUUGAAAAUGGAUUCUAGAAUUUUAUAUCUUCGAUAUUGAUCUUCUACC
rnacentral:lncRNA from 1 species